rnacentral:lncRNA from 1 species
UAAGUUAUAUAAACGACAUUCAAUAAUAACUUUAUCUAAGCAUCAUAUUUAUAUAUAAAAAGGUGGAGUACAUGCAAAACCAUCAAGUUUAAUAUUAUAAUUAACGUGUUCGAGGCACAGCUCGUAACUACACAUACGGUAAACAAAAUAUAUAUAUUCGGUCACAGCCGUCAUCAAAAUGCAUGAUCAUAAACCAAUAUAUAUAAAGUCUCGACCCACCAAAAUUAGAAGAGGCUAAGUUGGUUAUUAGCAAGAUAUAUUUACCAAAAACAUCAACAUAUAAUACUUCAUCAUAUAAUAGAACGGGAGAAUGUGGAGCUCCAUGUCUGCCGUCUUGCCGUCAACUCCUUAACCUGAAAAUAAUCAUAAAUAAUAGGGUAUGAGUGUGCAAGCACACUCAGUGGGGUAAACACUGCAAGCAGUUAUAACCAAUUGUGUAAUGAAUCAUAACAUGUUGAACUCUUAUAAUUUUUCACUUAGCUGACAUCUGAUGAGACUAGUCUCGGUCCCUUGUGGACCUGACCCCUUGUGGGCCGUUCAGCUCUUUGAUCCCUUGUGGAUCCGACCCCUUGUGGGUCCCAUUAGUUCAUAUGAAUGACGCACAACACAACAAUGAUUAUAACCAUGUAACAACUACGCUUACAGAUAAAAGUAAACCCCACCUUAAGUGAUUGAAUUCAAACCUCUUCAAGCUUGCUUCGGUUGUCCUCCUCGAGCCUUGGAUGCGCCGCUCCUAGCACUUGAAACACUUUAAACAUAGUUUCAUUACAAGCACUUAUUCUUGAAUAAGCUCUCAUUUCUUUAAACAAUAUUUUUAAUCUCUCUUGAAU